rnacentral:lncRNA from 1 species
GGAAACAUUUCUCCAAUAUUUACUGUGAGAUACUGGUGGAGCUCCCAGAGAUAAAUCUCACAAAAUUGUGGGGCCCUCCAUGACUGCAUCCCCCUGGAGUUUUUAACUUCCAGAGUUGUCCACGUGGAGCCUCCAGGACCUUGUCAACUACAGUUCAGGUUUUCCUCCUGCAGUGCUGGUUCCCGAGGAGGUUUCCCCUUCCAUGUCUCUGCCCUGGUUCUCUUGCAGCUAGAGUUCCACACAAAAUUUCAGUUCUGGCAAUCAGAGACAUUCAUGGACACUUGGAAAGCAAAAGUGAGCACUUUAAGAUGUUGGCUGCAUGAGAGGAGACUGGAUAUUCUAGGGCACCCGUGGAGUAGUCACCUGGAGUCAUAACUGUCAUAGUGUGGAACAAUGCUCUCAGACAGGGAGGAGAGAGUCAGCUUUCGUCCUGUGAGUCUGAGCCAAGAGAGAAUUUUAAUCAUCUCAGAGGAACCCAACCUGAGUAAUUCCUUGACGUCAUUCACGAAAUCUGUCCAUCUCUCAGAGUGACCAGCUUGGGCCUGAGCCACCACACUUUGCUCAUUCUCUGGCAGGCAAAGACAACUCUAAAAAUAUUCUCUAGAAGGGACUUCUGUGGGUUGGAUGUUGGCACCUCUGUUUCUCUGGCGUUUGGAGAAAGAAGCCUCUAGGCAUGUGGCCUGUGAUGGGGAGAGGGAAUCAGUGGAUUGCGUCUAAUUUGAGGGCUUUGCAUACUCUACCCCUCAGCCAGUCUUCUUAACUGGUUUGGCAGAAGAGAAAGCAGCGUAAAGAUAUACAUUUCUACUAUAAACUCUAGAAGGGCAGGGAAAUCAAGAAGCAAGGAUCCCAAACAAGCUCAGGGCUUUGAGCAAUUGAUUGUCUCUGUUAGUGGAGUUAUAGGAUGGGCUGAAAAUUGGAGCGAUUGCAAGACUUUAAAAGGAGUAGAUAGACCCAGGAAUCCUUUCUAUAUCCUCUGAAGUUAGAUGACUAUCCCUCCUGGGUCCCAGAAAAGACUGGAGAGUUACCAUAAUGAAUGGUAAAACUUUCAGCCUCCUUCCUUACUCAUUGGCUUAUACUCCACCCCAACCUCCCUCCCACUGGCCCGUGCAGGAGACUGGAGAACUUCUCUUAGGGACAACAAAAAGUCAAGGGAAAAGACUUAUAGCAAUUCAUAGUUU